UACAGAGGGGGCAAGCGUUAUUCGGAAUUAUUGGGCGUAAAGGGCGCGUAGGCGGCUUGGCAAGUGGAUGGUGAAAUCCCUCGGCUUAACCGAGGAACUGCCGUCCAAACUGCUUAGCUUGAGACCGGGAGAGGUGAGUGGAAUUCCCAGUGUAGCGGUGAAAUGCGUAGAUAUUGGGAGGAACACCAGUGGCGAAGGCGGCUCACUGGACCGGUACUGACGCUGAGGCGCGAAGGCCAGGGGAGCAAACGGG
rnacentral:rRNA from 1 species